rnacentral:lncRNA from 1 species
CUGAAGCCACAGAACCCCUGAAGUCAGCCAAGCCAGGCCAGGAGGAAGACGGACCCCUGAAGGGCAAAGGUCAAGGGGCCACCACAGCCGACGGCAAAGGAAAGAGAAGAAGGCGCCGCCCUUGCUGGAGGGGGCCCCCUUGCGACUGAAGCCCCGGAGCAUCCACGAGUUGUCUGUGGAGCAGCAGCUCUACUACAAGGAGAUCACCGAGGCCUGCGUGGGCUCCUGCGAG